rnacentral:rRNA from 1 species
UGGGGAAUAUUGCACAAUGGGCGCAAGCCUGAUGCAGCCAUGCCGUGUGUAUGAAGAAGGCCUUCGGGUUGUAAAGUACUUUCAGCGAGGAGGAAGGCGUUGUGGUUAAUAACCGCAACGAUUGACGUUACUCGCAGAAGAAGCACCGGCUAACUCCGUGCCAGCAGCCGCGGUAAUACGGAGGGUGCAAGCGUUAAUCGGAAUUACUGGGCGUAAAGCGCACGCAGGCGGUCUGUCAAGUCGGAUGUGAAAUCCCCGGGCUCAACCUGGGAACUGCAUCCGAAACUGGCAGGCUAGAGUCUUGUAGAGGGGGGUAGAAUUCCAGGUGUAGCGGUGAAAUGCGUAGAGAUCUGGAGGAAUACCGGUGGCGAAGGCGGCCCCCUGGACAAAGACUGACGCUCAGGUGCGAAAGCGUGGGGAGCAAACA